GAUGAAGAACGUAGCGAAAUGCGAUAAGUAAUGUGAAUUGCAGAAUUCAGUGAAUCAUCGAAUCUUUGAACGCACAUUGCGCCCGCCAGUAUUCUGGCGGGCAUGCCUGUUCGAGCGUCAUUACAACCCUCAGGCCCCCGGGCCUGGCGUUGGGGAUCGGCGGAGCCCCCCGUAGGCACACGCCGUCCCCCAAAUACAGUGGCGGUCCCGCCGCAGCUUCCAUCGCGUAGUAGCUAACACCUCGCGACUGGAGAGCGGCGCGGCCACGCCGUAAAACACCCAACUCUUCUGAAGUUGACCUCGAAUCAGGUAGGAAUACCCGCUGAACUUAAGCAUAUCAAUAAGCGGAGGA
rnacentral:misc_RNA from 1 species